rnacentral:rRNA from 1 species
GUGUAACUGACGCUAAAGCUCGAAAGUGCGGGUAUCGAACAGGAUUAGAUACCCUGGUAGUCCGCACGGUAAACGAUGGAUGCCCGCUGUUUGCGAUAUACAGUAAGCGGCCAAGCGAAAGCGUUAAGCAUCCCACCUGGGGAGUACGCCGGCAACGGUGAAACUCAAAGGAAUUGACGGGGGCCCGCACAAGCGGAGGAACAUGUGGUUUAAUUCGAUGAUACGCGAGGAACCUUACCCGGGCUUGAACUGCAGCAGAACGAUUCAGAGAUGAUGAGGCCCUUCGGGGCUGCUGUGGAGGUGCUGCAUGGUUGUCGUCAGCUCGUGCCGUGAGGUGUCGGCUUAAGUGCCAUAACGAGCGCAACCCCUUUCGUCAGUUGCCAUCAGGUUAAGCUGGGCACUCUGGCGACACUGCCACCGUAAGGUGUGAGGAAGGUGGGGAUGACGUCAAAUCAGCACGGCCCUUACGUCCGGGGCUACACACGUGUUACAAUGGGUGAUACAGAGCGUCGGCGCUUGGCAAUAAGCGUCCAAUCGUGAAAGUCAUCCUCAGUUCGGAUUGGGGUCUGCAACCCGACCCCAUGAAGCUGGAUUCGCUAGU